rnacentral:lncRNA from 1 species
UUUUUUUGGGUGUAAUUUUUUUUUUUUGAAUUAUCUAAGGCAAACCUCUAAAGAAGGAAUUAAAGGAAAAUAAUUUUUGGAUUUCUUUUAAAAUUGGGGCCGGAACUGAUGAGAUUUGUCUACGUAUCUCACAUCGGGUGAGAAUCAGACCUGCGUAGUUUGGUUAGUCUUGACAUAAUCGAUAAAACAUGAUAUUGACUCACUUUCAUUUUUAAAUGAAUUUUCUCUUUCUAUCUCUAUUUUUUUUUCAAAAAUUUUGGCAGAGUUUCGAGGCAUUUUCAAAUACCGGGGUUUUCAAAAUCGGGUGAAUUCUCUAUCGUACCUCACUCUUGGUUUUCCUAUCGUAUUUUUUUCCUUAGCCGGUCAACAUACAAGCCGAAACAAAUAAAUGUACAAAUAGCACGUAAGAUGUAUCAGGAUGGUCUUUUAUUUCGGGUACACCUGCCCUAGACAGAUCUAACCCCUGUGUUGAGUCCCCAAAGUCAAAUGCACAUGAUGCAAACAAACGUUUCUACUAGGGAUUCGUCAUGAGGUUAUAUUUUUCUAGGUUUAAACCUGGGGUUGUGUUCUAAACCUGGCUUACCCAAGGGGACAACUUGAGCCGAGGUGGGAGCGACGUACCGGGAACACAAAAGUCUACCCGGCCUAGUGGCUGAUCCAUCCUCGUACUAUUUAGUAUGACCUUUAACAGAAAAGUGGGCCACGCGAACGUGUGCACCAUUUUUUAGAAGAUUCAGAAGGGAGGCGUAAGAAGACGGUUUAAUAUAGUUUAAAUAAUAUCAAAGCGGUAAAUAAGCAACAAUUAGCACAUUAGGUCCACAAAAUACAGUAAUAUCAACAAUUAAUAAAGCCAAGUAAAAAUUACAUUAACAAGCUUGAAUUCUUGAACCCUGAACCAGAGAUUCUGGAUUAGAUCUCCAGCAGAGUCGCCAGAGCUGUAACACCUCCUGUUUACCCGAGGGGGAUAUAAGGGAGUUUUUCCAAUUAAAGUAACAUUAAUCGAAAUAGAAUUAUUUAUUUAUUCAGAGUCGCCGCUUGGAAUAUAUAUUAUACCUCAAAAUUCACUAAGGCAAAAACAUAUUAGGUUUUAGGGCUUCCUAAAGGGAAUGACUUAGAGCCUGUUUGAAUUGACUUAUUUUAAAUGCUUUUAAGUCAAAUUUGUAUCGUUUGGAUAUAAUAAAAAAACGCUUUUAAACACUUAUUUUUAAGUUAAAAUGACCCCAAAAAAGAAGACGCCAAAAGCCAAAAGCUAGAAUUCCAAAUUUAUGACUGUCACGCCUCCUUUUUACCCGAGAGGAAUAUAAGGGAGUUUUUCCAAUUAAAGUAACAUUAAUCGAAAUGGGAUUAUUUAUUUAUUUAUUUAUUCAGAGUCGUCACUUGGAAUAAUUUAUGGUGUCCCAAGUCACCGGUUUAUUUUAAAUCCCAAAUAGAGGAAAAUUUGACUUCGUUUAAAGUUUGCAAAACAUGAAAGACUAGGUAAGGAAUUCUGUUAACCCGGGAGAAGGUGCUAGGCAAUCCCGGAUUUCGUGAUUUUAGCGCGGUCGCUUAGCAAUUUAUACUUGGCUUAUUUCGUCUAAUUACUCAUUUUAAGACCUAUGCUUAUUUUACCUUUUACUGCUAUUAAUCACUUGAUGAUCCAUAUUUAAAGAAUUAAUCUUAAGAUAAGUUACGCGUACGUAUACUCAAUUCCUAAUACUUAGUUUAUUUAAGAAAAAGGUUUGGUCAAAGUUGCGCGAACACAUACUUUGAAUUUAUUUGAGAAAAACGUAAUCAUAAUAAUAAUUUAAAACUCACGCCUAAAGCAUUUCUAUGAAUUUUUAUUAAGGCAUUUUAAUAAAUAAAAAACGUUUUAACAUGGUUACGCGGAUGUAGACCUUGGCGUCACAACUAUGUCACACAUGCGUAUACAUAAUUGCAAUAGUUAGUUAAUUUUAAAGUGAACCUAAAAUUGCGAUUAUGUCUCUAAGUAUUCUAUCAUUUAGCUAGGUGUAAAGGUUCAAAACUAUGUGAGAUAUUUAUUUAAUUAAUUAGGUAGUUCACAUAUUAGCUGCCCAUUUGGUAAAUUAAUUCACUUUGCCCAAUUAUCCCCUAAUGUUGAAACCACCGUUUAAAACUCAAAAUUCCCAAAAUAUUGUCAAACCCUAAAUUUGGUUCCUUGUAUCCUACUAUCUACUAAUUAUAAAAGUCUAAAACUUAAUUUUUAAUUCCAAAACCCAUUUAAAUAAGCUCAAUCAAACAAACUUCAUGUUUAUUAUCUAACAAUAAAAGCUAACAGAAUGUAAUGCUAAUAAACAGUAAUUCAAUCUCAAUUAAUAAAUAAAAAUUAAUCGUGAAUUGAUAUUAAGGUAAACAACAUCUAGCAACCAAAAAAAAGACCAACAAAUAUGUGAUAGGGCUUAUUAAAUCAAAUCAUGUUUAAAUAUGCUGAAUUAGUCACAAACAUUUGUGAUGACAUCACUUGUUAUAAAAUAAAAUUCUACGUUUCGAGGUUUUAAAAACCUCUUUUAGCAUCACCUCGAUUUGCGUGCACAGUCCGGCCAAGUAGCCGGAAAGCUUAUAUGUGAAAAUCUGUGAAAAAUAAUAAGUUUUGACUAUAAAAUGAAUUAAUUUGACUUCGGUCAACGUUUUGGGUAAACGGACCCGAACCCGGGGUUUGUCGGUCCCGGAGGGUCUGUAGGAAAAUAUGGGACUUGGGCGUAUGCCUGGAAUCGAAUUCCGAGGUCCAAGACCGAGAAAUGAAUUUUUGAAGAAAAUUAUUUUCUGAAAUUGUUUAUAAGGUUUGGAAAUGAAUUUUUGAUUAGAACAUAUUGGUAUCGGGCCCGUAUUUUGGUUCCAGUGCCCGGUAUAGAUCUUAUAUGUGAUUUACGAUAAUUUUGUGAAGUUUGGUAAGAAACGGAAUCCAUUUGACAUGAUUCGGACCUUAAAUGCAAAUUUGAUGUUUAAAGAAGUUUUGAGAAAUUUCAUUGAUUUUGAGGUUUAAUUCGAUGUUCAUGAUGUUAUUUUGGUAAUUUUAUUACACAAAUAAGUCCGUAGUAUGUUUUUUAGGUUGUGUGUAUGUUUGGUUUGGAGCCCCGAGGGCUCGGAUGAGUUUUGGAUAGGCCACGAGGUGCAUUUUGAACUUAAAAAAAUUGCAGAAAUUUUGCUGGUAUGAUCAGGCCUGCAAGCAUUUCAUUUGCGAAGCCUGGUUCGCAAAUGCGAUAUCGCAAAUGCGAGGUCUUGGUUGCAAAUGCGAAUCAGCCUAGGCCUACCUUAUCUCGCAAAUGCGAGCUAUGUUUCGCAAAUGCGACCUCGCAAAUGCGACGUAUGGUGGGAAGGCAUGAAGUCACAAAUGUGACUUAUUGUUCGCAAAUACGAAAAGCCCAGAUUUCCUAAGGGUUCGCAAAUGCAAGCUUCCCUCCGCAAUUCCCAAGCCAGCAGAGGUCGAGGUUCGCAAUUGCGAACCCCUGUUCGCAAUUCCCACAUCUGAGACCUGCAAUUUUUAUACUUAGACGAUUUUAAACUCAUUUUUCACAUCUUUUCAAAACACAAACUCCUUUGUGCGAUUUUCCAAGAACAACUCUUCUUCCAAAUAGAUUAUAAGUAAUUUUUACUCAUUUCCUUCAAUCAUUAACAUCUUUUAACAAGAUUUCAAAUCAAUAUCAAUGAUUUUCAUGGGGGAAAUUGGGUGUUUUGGGUAGANNNNNNNNNNNNNNNNNNUUGAGGUCCGAUUUCAGAAUAAAUUAUAUAUUUGGGUUCGUGGGGGAAUGGGUAAUCGGGUUUUGACCAUGUGGGUCUGGGGGCGAUUUUUGACUUUUUGGGCAAAACUUUGGGAAAUUCAUUUUCAUGCAUUCAUAUUGAUUCAUUUAGCGUUUAUUGAUGUAAUUAAGUAAUGUGUGACUAGAUACGAGCGAAUUGGCGGUGGAAUCAAGGGGUAAAGCUAUAAUUGAAAUUUGAGUUGUGUUCGUGACAUCAAGGUAAGUGUUCGGUCUAACCUUAGCUUGAGGGAUUAAGAGUUGUGUCCUAUUUGCUAUUUUCUUCUUGUUGAGCAUGACAUAUAGGCAUGGUGACGAGUAUCUAUACGUUGGCGUCGAGCAUGACCGUGAGUCUUAAAUUGCAAUUUAUUUUAUGUUCUUAAAUAGUACUACGGAUGCUUCAAUUGAUGAUUCUCGAUAUUGAGCAAGGAUUAAGUUUGUUUUUGUAAAAAUUACUUAUGAUUGAGUAUUGGUGUUAGCUGACAUGAGAGAAGUUGGGUUAAAAUUUGUUAUAGUUGUUUCUCCCUUGCUGGGACGUAUUUAUUUUUACUGUCGAAUCCCUUGCCGGGAUAGUGUAGCUUAUUGUUGAUCCCUUGUCGGUACUCUUGGUAUGGUUGUUACUAAAGGUAUAUAAAUAUUAUGUUGGAUCGGGUUGCAUGCCGCAAUAAUACUAUAUAUGGAACGGGUUGCACGCCACAACAAUGUUAUGUUGGAUCAGGUUGCACGCCGCAACAAUGUUAGGUUGGAUCGGGUUGCACGCCGCAACAAUGUUAUGUUGGAUCGAGUUGCACGCCGCAACAAUGUUAUGUUGGAUCGGGUUGCACGCCGCAAUAAUGUUAUAUUCUAUCAGGUUGCACGCCGCAACAGUGAUAUAAAUGGAUCGGGUUGCACGCCACAACAGUGAUAUAAAUGGAUCGGGUUGCACGCCGCAACAUUGUUAAAUGAUAGGGAUCGGGUUGUGCGCCGCAACAAUGUUAUUAUGGUUUUAUUGUAAAUCUUGAAUUGUUCUCUCAUAUUUCUCUUAAGUUUCUGCUAGAUUCGAUAUUUCCCACGUAGCAUGUACCCCUCCCAUGUUAAUUGUUUAUUCCUGUUUAUUUUCCGCUGUAUAUUAUAUAACUGCACAGGUUUAUCUGGAGUCUGGUCCUAGCCUCGUCACUAUCUCGCCGGGGUUAGUCCAGGCACUUACCAGCACAUAGGGUCGGUUGUGUCGAUGCUACACUCUGCACUAUGUGCAGAUUCCGGAACAACUUUUGGACAGUAGCACUUGGGGAGCAUGCCUUCAGUCCAGCCAGAGAUCCCGAGGUAGUCCUGCAGGCGUCUGAGGCCCGGUGUUCUCUUCUACUUUAUUAUGUACUCUGUUUUCAUUAGAUUUCGAGACAGAUUAUAUUUCUUUCAGACAUUUGUUGUAGUAAUCUUAGUCCAUCCGUGAUAUUGUGACACCGGAUUCCGGGUAGAGAUGUGUGUUGUCAUUAUCGUACUGGUCUUAGUUAUUAUAUUAGAUUAAGUCUUCCGCUUGAUUUCAUUUAUCGUUAAUUUCUAAAUGUUGGAUACCUGUUAAUUCAGAUUGUUAAAAAGGGUUAAAAAUGAAAGAGUUAGAAAUUUUCUAUGUUUAGUCGCUUGCCUAGUUUCUACGAGUAGGCGUCAUCACGGCUCCCGAGGGUGGAAAAUCCGGGUCGUGACAACAUUAAAGUAGUAGAAGUGAACAUAGUGAUCGAAACGGGCCUUCUAAUAGCUGAAAUAUAAUCUUCAACACAUAAGGAGCAUUGAUCUGCUAAAACUUUCGUACAAACAAACCACUGACUCGAGACCCAUGUCGGAAACCUUGAACCCAAAUCAAAAACAAUAAAACGCGACUGAACGUGGGUGAUCUUACACAGUUGAAGUGAAGCUCUGUUUGUCAGCAAAUAUGGUGCGACUGCGACCCCUUUUUUGGGGGUUUAGUGCUGCAUUUCAGCUGUGUAAAAGGUAGUUUUGGGGUGAUUCAAAGCUAAUGUUUUGGACAGUUUAGAGAGUGUUUUUGGGUGAUUUUCGGGCUGUUCAAAGAGGCUGAUUUGGAGGUCAUUUUUGAGGUGUUUUUGGAGGAGAUUUUCAGCUCGUUUUGGAGCUAUUUUGGAGGUGAUUUUGAGCAGAUUUAUAGCUUUUUAGCUUCUGUUCUGAACUGAUUUUCGCAGGGGUUUUGAUGUGGAAACAGGGCUGGUUUUUGGACUAUUUUUGCAGCUGCUUCAGCUGCGUUUUCUGAGCUGUUCGGAGAUGAUUGGGGGGGGGGUGAAUUGGAGCUGAUUUUUGGUGGAUUUCGUGGUUGAUUUUCAUGACUUUUUGGAGUUGAAGUUUGGAUUAUAAUGGAGUGUGUUUGGCGAAAGAAGAAAGGCAGCAACUGCUACGUUUUGUUCUUAGAGAAAGAAGUUGAUGCGCAACUUUUUUUUAAAAAAAGCUCUAGGGUCCUUUCUUUCUUCUGAUUAGGUCUAGUCUAAAUGUGUGUGUCCUUCAAUUUAUAAUCUAGCUUAGGAAAUUUAUUGGUGGAAGAGAUAAUACUUCGAAGUGUGAUUGUCUAGGGUAGGUGAUAUGUG